AUCUAUGGCCAUGCCUCCCUGAACACACCUGAUCAUGUCUGAUCUCAGAAGCUAAGCAGGGUCGGGCCUGGUUAGUACUUGGAUGGGAGAAUACGCUAGGUCCAUAAAGU
ensembl:rRNA 5S_rRNA 5S ribosomal RNA